rnacentral:misc_RNA from 1 species
GUGUUUUUUUUGUUUGUAUAUUAGAUUGUUUUAUUAGAUAGUAUUAUGUUACUGGUGGAAAACCCCACCAAUACAAUUCAAUAAUCCUCAAAUACCUUGGAUAUAAACAUCCUUAGUGAUGAUCCUUCCGCAGGUUCACCUACGGAAA